rnacentral:rRNA from 1 species
UACAGAGGUGGCAAGCGUUGUUCGGAAUUACUGGGCGUAAAGGGCGAGUAGGCGGCCUUCUAAGUCAGACGUGAAAUCCCCCGGCUUAACCUGGGAACUGCGUCUGAUACUGGGAGGCUAGAGUUUGGGAGAGGGGUGUAGAAUUCCAGGUGUAGCGGUGAAAUGCGUAGAUAUCUGGAGGAAUACCGGUGGCGAAGGCGGCACCCUGGACCAAUACUGACGCUGAUCCGCGAAAGCUAGGGGAGCAAACGGG